AGAGUUUGAUCCUGGCUCAGGAUGAACGCUGGCGGUCUGCUUAACACAUGCAAGUCGAACGGUGUCUUCGGACACAGUGGCGGACGGGUGAGUAACACGUGAGAACCUGCCUUAAGGUCGGGGAUAACAGUUGGAAACGACUGCUAAUACCGGAUGUGCCUACGGGUGAAAGAUUAAUUGCCUGAAGAUGGGCUCGCGUCUGAUUAGCUAGUUGGAGUGGUAACGGCACACCAAGGCGACGAUCAGUAGCUGGUCUGAGAGGAUGAUCAGCCACACUGGGACUGAGACACGGCCCAGACUCCUACGGGAGGCAGCAGUGGGGAAUUUUCCGCAAUGGGCGAAAGCCUGACGGAGCAAGACCGCGUGAGGGAGGAAGGCUCUUGGGUUGUAAACCUCUUUUGUCAGGGAAGAACACAAUGACGGUACCUGACGAAUCAGCAUCGGCUAACUCCGUGCCAGCAGCCGCGGUAAUACGGAGGAUGCAAGCGUUAUCCGGAAUUAUUGGGCGUAAAGCGUCCGCAGGUGGUUGUACAAGUUUGCUGUCAAAGCGCGGAGCUUAACUCCGUAAAGGCGGUGGAAACUGUGCGACUAGAGUUCGGUAGGGGUCGCGGGAAUUCCCAGUGUAGCGGUGAAAUGCGUAGAUAUUGGGAAGAACACCGGUGGCGAAAGCGCGCGACUGGACCGAGACUGACACUCAUGGACGAAAGCUAGGGGAGCGAAAGGGAUUAGAUACCCCUGUAGUCCUAGCCGUAAACGAUGGGUACUAGGUGUUGCCCGUAUCGACCCGGGCAGUGCCGUAGCUAACGCGUUAAGUACCCCGCCUGGGGAGUACGCACGCAAGUGUGAAACUCAAAGGAAUUGACGGGGGCCCGCACAAGCGGUGGAGUAUGUGGUUUAAUUCGAUGCAACGCGAAGAACCUUACCAGGGCUUGACAUGUCGCGAAUCCUUGUGAAAGCAGGGAGUGCCUUCGGGAGCGCGAACACAGGUGGUGCAUGGCUGUCGUCAGCUCGUGUCGUGAGAUGUUGGGUUAAGUCCCGCAACGAGCGCAACCCUCGUCGUUAGUUGCCAGCAUUCAGUUGGGCACUCUGACGAGACUGCCGGUGACAAACCGGAGGAAGGUGGGGAUGACGUCAAGUCAGCAUGCCCCUUACGCCCUGGGCUACACACGUACUACAAUGCUUCGGACAAAGGGUUGCAAGUCGGCGACGACAAGCUAAUCUCGUAAACCGAGGCUCAGUUCAGAUUGCAGGCUGCAACUCGCCUGCAUGAAGGCGGAAUCGCUAGUAAUCGCAGGUCAGCAUACUGCGGUGAAUACGUUCCCGGGCCUUGUACACACCGCCCGUCACACCAUGGAAGUUGGCCACGCCCGAAGUCGUUACUCCAACCGCAAGGAGGAGGACGCCGAAGGCAGGGCUGAUGACUGGGGUGAAGUCGUAACAAGGUAGCCGUACCGGAAGGUGUGGCUGGAUCACCUCCUUUUUAGGGAGACCUCCCGACUCUUCGUCAAGCCGCUAAAUGCGCUUGACAGGAGCUGGUCAUCUCAGGUCGUUCGAGGAUUAGUGUUGGCUUUCAACUGUUUAGGUUUGGUUCAUGGGCUAUUAGCUCAGGUGGUUAGAGCGCACCCCUGAUAAGGGUGAGGUCCCUGGUUCGAGUCCAGGAUGGCCCACCUUGUAAAUUGGUACGAAUGGGGGUUUAGCUCAGCUGGUAGAGCGCCUGCUUUGCAAGCAGGAUGUCAGCGGUUCGAGUCCGCUAACCUCCACUGGGUAGUAUUCAACACCUUGUAAGGGCUACUGUGUUUUUCUUCAGCAACUUAUCUAGUUUUAAUGUUAAGCUAGAGAGCUGCUGGAGUUAUCCAGCCAGAACCUUGAAAACUGCAUAGUUAACUUGUCAGGUAGUUAGUGAAGACUGAGCAACGCCUCAGUUGAAGCUAAUCACAGACACCAAUGUAAGAAAUUGUGGUCAAGCUACAAAGGGCUUACGGUGGAUACCUAGGCACACAGAGGCGAAGA
rnacentral:rRNA from 1 species